AUGGCCUUAAAAAUUUCUCAAAUAAUUCACAUUCUUCUAUGGCUAUCUCUUAUAUUUUUGCUCUUUCAUGAGUAUUACAAUCUCAAAUACUCAAAGAUCAACAAGAAGAAUAUCAUACAAGCAAGUCAUCAUUCAUUAUCCUCUCUUCACAGCAGAAAAGUUCUAGCAAGAAAAUUUCACUUCUCUCCUUUCUUUAAGCAUCAUCAUCAUCAUCAAGAACAGAAAGAUCCUUCUGACAAAGAGAUUGAUCCUCGUUAUGGCGUCGAGAAACGCCGUGUGCCAACUGGUCCAAAUCCGUUACACCAUUGA